CCUACGGGAGGCAGCAGUGGGGAAUAUUGCACAAUGGGGGAAACCCUGAUGCAGCGACGCCGCGUGAGUGAAGAAGUAUUUCGGUACGUAAAGCUCUAUCAGCAGGGAAGAAAAUGACGGUACCUGACUAAGAAGCCCCGGCUAACUACGUGCCAGCAGCCGCGGUAAUACGUAGGGGGCAAGCGUUAUCCGGAUUUACUGGGUGUAAAGGGAUCGUAGACGGCAGCGCAAGUCUGGAGUGAAAUCCCAUGGCUUAACCAUGGAACUGCUUUGGAAACUGUGCAGCUAGAGUGCAGGAGAGGUAAGCGGAAUUCCUAGUGUAGCGGUGAAAUGCGUAGAUAUUAGGAGGAACACCAGUGGCGAAGGCGGCUUACUGGACUGUAACUGACGUUGAGGCUCGAAAGCGUGGGGAGCAAACAGGAUUAGAUACCCCAGUAGUC
rnacentral:rRNA from 1 species